CCCUUUGUUGCUUAGACGGCAACGCAUUGUCCUGGCAAUGCCAGAGGUUGUGGGUUUGAUUCCCACUGGAGGCC